rnacentral:rRNA from 1 species
ACGGAGGGCAGCAGUGGGGGAUAUUGCACAAUGGGGGAAACCCUGAUGCAGCGAUGCCGCGUGAGGGAAGAAGGUUUUCGGAUUGUAAACCUCUGUCUUUGGGGACGAUGGUGACGGUAGCCAAGGAGGAAGCCCCGGCUAACUACGUGCCAGCAGCCGCGGUAAUACGUAGGGGGCGAGCGUUGUCCGGAAUGACUGGGCGUAAAGGGCGUGUAGGCGGCGCUGUAAGUCCGGAGUGAAAGUCCUGCUUUCAAGGUGGGAAUUGCUUUGGAGACUGCAGAGCUUGAGUACGGAAGAGGUAAGUGGAAUUCCCGGUGUAGCGGUGAAAUGCGUAGAGAUCGGGAGGAACACCAGUGGCGAAGGCGACUUACUGGGCCGUAACUGACGCUGAGGCGCGAAAGCGUGGGGAGCGAACAGGAUUAGAUACCCUGGUA